rnacentral:lncRNA from 1 species
AUUACAUAAACCACUCACCUUGAUAAUGAGAGCCCUUAAAAUAAAUUGGCAAGACAACCCAUCUACCUAUCUUCAUGUACUAUCAUCCAAACCAAGCUCCAAGAGUUUAAUCACCACUCUCUCUCCUUCUUUCUAAUUUCUCAUGUUUUGAAACUAUAAGGUUAUGCUCCUAUUUAUAUAGUGUUUAUAGGGAUGGAAUAAACUUCAAUAUUAAAAUAAUAAGAACAUCCAAGUUUAUUUUAAAGAUAAUAUCGUCCAAAUUUAUCCAAAAAAUAAAUAUCUUCUUUUAUCUGUUUAAAAUACGGGUAUUCACAAAAUCAGUAAACAAGGACCAACUCUCUCCCACCUCUUAUUCCCUGAUAACUCCGUAUUCUUCCUCAAAGCCACGUAUAGUAACGGCCACAAUAUGAUGCACCUCUUAAAUGCCAAUUGCACAGCCUCUGGUCAGACCAUAAGCAUGGCAAAAUCCUACAUUUUUUUGGGCCAGAAUACUCCUUUAGGGCUGAGAAGUAACAUAUGCUUUAUAUUUGGUGUUAAGGGCAGUUGAGGAUCCAAGGAAAUAUUUGGGGCUGCCAACAUCUUGGGGCCGUGUAAAAGGGGAGGCAGGCGGGGCGUGACAUUAUGAUUAAAGCCGUGGCACUUGCCAUCCCAACAUAUCCCAUGAAUGUCUUCAAGUUCCCCACCUCUUUAUGUAAAGUAAUUGAUGCCUUGCUUGCCAAAUUUUGGUGGGGCCAGAAGGAAGAUGAAACAAAAGUUCAUUGGGUUAGUUGGAAAUCUCUGGGCAUAUCAAAAAUUGAGGGAGGUAUGGGAUUCAGGAGUUUGCAAGAGUUCAACCUAGCUUUUUUGGCAAAACAAAGAUGGAGGAUCCCGGAUAAACCUAAUUCACUGUGGGUUCGUGUGCUAAAAGGCAGAUAUUUCCCUAAUGGGGAUUUUAGAGAUGCUGUGAAGGGUAGUAGGGCCUCCGAAAUUUUAUGUGGAGAGCCCUCCGAAACUGCUAGGCUACCUCAUAAAAUUUGUUUAAAAGAAAAAUUGGUCGGUCUCCUCUUUGCCAAAUUUGCUCCACACACCCAGAAACCAUUGAGCACAUUUUGUUAC